AGUGUGUGGCUGUGACUUGGCACAAGGAGGCUUUUUUAUUAAGAAUGGGGAGUAUCUUUGCACCUUGGAUUACCAGCGCAUGUAUGGAACCCGCUGCAACGGUUGUGGGGAGUUUGUGGAAGGCGAAGUAGUGACAGCUCUGGGAAAAACUUACCAUCCAAGCUGCUUUGCCUGUACUGUUUGCAAGCGUCCAUUUCCACCAGGCGAUCGAGUUACCUUUAAUGGAAGGGACUGUCUCUGUCAGAUGUGUGCUCAGCCAAUGUCCUCCAGUCCAAAAGAAUUGUCUGCCUCAAGCAGUAAUGUCUGGUACUACAGGUAGGAACAGUCACUUACAUAUUUCAAUAUGAAUAAAUGACUUUUCCCCCAAUGACUGCAUUUUUAAAAGGGCUGAUUUUUCUUUUAUAGGCACUGGAAAAGUAUCUAAUUGAUGAAACCUGAGGCUUCCAAGUUGAUAGAUUCCAUCCUUUUCAUAUAUAAUUGCACAGGUUUAAGUAUUCAAAAGAGGACAAAGUCAGAGG